rnacentral:rRNA from 1 species
ACCAACCCGAUGCAAACUGCGAAUACCGGAGAAUGUUAUCACGGGAGACACACGGCGGGUGCUAACGUCCGUCGUGAAGAGGGAAACAACCCAGACCGCCAGCUAAGGUCCCAAAGUCAUGGUUAAGUGGGAAACGAUGUGGGAAGGCCCAGACAGCCAGGAUGUUGGCUUAGAAGCAGCCAUCAUUUAAAGAAAGCGUAAUAGCUCACUGGUCGAGUCGGCCUGCGCGGAAGAUGUAACGGGGCUAAACCAUGCACCGAAGCUGCGGCAGCGACACUGUGUGUUGUUGGGUAGGGGAGCGUUCUGUAAGCCUGUGAAGGUGUGUCGUGAGGCAUGCUGGAGGUAUCAGAAGUGCGAAUGCUGACAUAAGUAACGAUAAAGCGGGUGAAAAGCCCGCUCGCCGGAAGACCAAGGGUUCCUGUCCAACGUUAAUCGGGGCAGGGUGAGUCGACCCCUAAGGCGAGGCCGAAAGGCGUAGUCGAUGGGAAACGGGUUAAUAUUCCCGUACUUGGUGUUACUGCGAAGGGGGGACGGAGAAGGCUAUGUUGGCCGGGCGACGGUUGUCCCGGUUUAAGCGUGUAGGUGUGUGUUCCAGGUAAAUCCGGUUCACUUUAACACUGAGGCGUGACGACGAGGCACUACGGUGCUGAAGCAACAAAUGCCCUGCUUCCAGGAAAAGCCUCUAAGCAUCAGGUAACAUCAAAUCGUACCCCAAACCGACACAGGUGGUCAGGUAGAGAAUACCAAGGCGCUUGAGAGAACUCGGGUGAAGGAACUAGGCAAAAUGGUGCCGUAACUUCGGGAGAAGGCACGCUGACACGUAGGUGAAGUGAUUUACUCAUGGAGCUGAAGUCAGUCGAAGAUACCAGCUGGCUGCAACUGUUUAUUAAAAACACAGCACUGUGCAAACACGAAAGUGGACGUAUACGGUGUGACGCCUGCCCGGUGCCGGAAGGUUAAUUGAUGGGGUCAGCGCAAGCGAAGCUCCUGAUCGAAGCCCCGGUAAACGGCGGCCGUAACUAUAACGGUCCUAAGGUAGCGAAAUUCCUUGUCGGGUAAGUUCCGACCUGCACGAAUGGCGUAAUGAUGGCCAGGCUGUCUCCACCCGAGACUCAGUGAAAUUGAACUCGCUGUGAAGAUGCAGUGUACCCGCGGCAAGACGGAAAGACCCCGUGAACCUUUACUAUAGCUUGACACUGAACAUUGAGCCUUGAUGUGUAGGAUAGGUGGGAGGCUUUGAAGUGUGGACGCCAGUCUGCAUGGAGCCGACCUUGAAAUACCACCCUUUAAUGUUU